UACGGGGGGGGCAAGCGUUGUUCGGAUUUAUUGGGCGUAAAGAGCGUGUAGGCGGCCUGCCAGGUCUGCUGUGAAAACUCGAGGCUCAACCUCGAGAUGUCGGCGGAAACCGUCUGGCUAGAGUCCGGAAGAGGAGAGUGGAAUUCCUGGUGUAGCGGUGAAAUGCGCAGAUAUCAGGAAGAACACCUAUGGCGAAGGCAGCUCUCUGGGACGGUACUGACGCUGAGACGCGAAAGCGUGGGGAGCGAACAGG
rnacentral:rRNA from 1 species